GGCCUAACACAUGCGAGUCGAGCGGCAGCACGGGAAGCUUGCUUCCUGGUGGCGAGCGGCGGACGGGUGAGUAAUGCAUAGAAAUCUGCCCGGUAGUGGGGGAUAACCUGGGGAAACCCAGGCUAAUACCGCAUACGUCCUACGGGAGAAAGCAGGGGAUCUUCGGACCUUGCGCUAUCGGAUGAGUCUAUGUCGGAUUAGCUUGUUGGUGAGGUAAUGGCUCACCAAGGCGACGAUCCGUAGCUGGUCUGAGAGGAUGAUCAGCCACAUCGGGACUGAGACACGGCCCGAACUCCUACGGGAGGCAGCAGUGGGGAAUAUUGGACAAUGGGCGAAAGCCUGAUCCAGCCAUGCCGCGUGUGUGAAGAAGGCCUUCGGGUUGUAAAGCACUUUCAGUGGGGAAGAAAGCCUUGGGGCUAAUACCCUCGAGGAAGGACAUCACCCACAGAAGAAGCACCGGCUAACUCCGUGCCAGCAGCCGCGGUAAUACGGAGGGUGCGAGCGUUAAUCGGAAUUACUGGGCGUAAAGCGCGCGUAGGCGGUCUGAUAAGCCGGUUGUGAAAGCCCCGGGCUCAACCUGGGAACGGCAUCCGGAACUGUCAGGCUAGAGUGCAGGAGAGGAAGGUAGAAUUCCCGGUGUAGCGGUGAAAUGCGUAGAGAUCGGGAGGAAUACCAGUGGCGAAGGCGGCCUUCUGGACUGACACUGACGCUGAGGUGCGAAAGCGUGGGUAGCAAACAGGAUUAGAUACCCUGGUAGUCCACGCCGUAAACGAUGUCGACUAGCCGUUGGGCUCCUUGAGAGCUUUGUGGCGCAGUUAACGCGAUAAGUCGACCGCCUGGGGAGUACGGCCGCAAGGUUAAUACUCAA
rnacentral:rRNA from 1 species